CGUAAUGUUCUGGUGGUUGGGUUUUCCACUAAAAAAAAGGCUUCCAUUUACGAAACAAAAAAAAGGAGAAACAUUUGGGCUCCUUCAACUGGGUUUUUCCCUCUGUUUCAGUUAAAAACUGCUUCACCACUUUGCUUCCACACAUCAUCACACCGUCUUCCUCCACUCAUCGUAGCCAUACAAUCACCAAAAAUCACCACACAAACACCACCACUCCCUCAUUACCGCAACCAUCAUUUCACCCUUAACUCGACCCACCUUUCACCGUCGGAUUCGCUUCCACCACGGACAUGUUUUGGCGAAUCCCCUUCGAUCCGUAACAACAACCACAUAACAUUCUUCAUUUCCUUUUUCUCCGAAAUUUCAGAUAUGUUUAUCACUUCCUUCAAAUCCUUCUCCUUCUCCACCAUACCAACAACAUCUUUGUUGCAGGAACAUAAGGCCUACAAUCGAAGUUGUUAAGCUACGACGACAACACCUUUGUAAUACGGCGUCGAUUCAAAUCGGUUACUGGUUGAGGAUUCAGUUUGAGCGGAAUCGUUUCGACAUUAUGUGCUACUAGUGUUGUUUCGACACUACAUCAUCCGUGUUACUGCUACGACUCAGUUAUACGCGGAUUACACUUCGGCUACGAUAUUAUUUUAUGUCUUUGGUUUACAUUACUGAGAUGUUUAGUUUCGAGUUUAUGUGAUCAUUUCACUUAUGGAAUAUAUGGAAAGGUUGCGUUGAUUUUGGAAUGAUGCAAACAUUUUGGUUUUGAUAGUUCAUACGCGUAUGAAUUGAGCCAAGUGAUUAUCGAUAUUGUUGGAUUUAAAUUCAAGAGAGUUGUUUGUAUAUAACUCAUUAUAGGUUUGGUUUUUAUCUAGUAAGAGUCUCAUGCUGACCUAAUGUGAAGCGUUGAUAUGUAUGUUUUGAUGUUGCGUGUGACGGUUAUCGACCGUGAUCCAAAUACACUUUACUUGUACUUAGAGGCUGCAUUUUUUUAUAUGCUAUGGUGUGUUCAUCAACCUUCUGCAGGUGGAAUUCUUAAUGCUUAACCGUGUCGGUUUGUGGCUUAACCGUUUUUUAUGUUGUUGUUGCCUCAUGAGCUUGGUGUAUAUUAAAGUACCUCUUAACCACAUUUGGCAGAGGCCUGCAACUCAUUUGCUUUUAUUUUUUUUUCAAACUUGGACAUUAUUAGUGCUAACUGAUACUUUGUUUUAAUUAAUCAUCUUAAUAUUGCUUGGUCCAACUGAUUUGUUAGUUCACAGUAUUAUAAUU
rnacentral:lncRNA from 1 species